rnacentral:rRNA from 1 species
UGGGGAAUAUUGGACAAUGGGGGCAACCCUGAUCCAGCCAUGCCGCGUGUGUGAAGAAGGCCUUUUGGUUGUAAAGCACUUUAGGCAGGGAGGAGAGGCUAAUGGUUAAUACCCAUUAGAUUAGACGUUACCUGCAGAAUAAGCACCGGCUAACUCUGUGCCAGCAGCCGCGGUAAUACGGAGGGUGCGAGCGUUAAUCGGAAUUACUGGGCGUAAAGCGAGUGUAGGUGGCUCAUUAAGUCACAUGUGAAAUCCCCGGGCUUAACCUGGGAACUGCAUGUGAUACCGGUGGUGCUAGAAUAUGUGAGAGGGAAGUAGAAUUCCCAGGUGUAGCGGUGAAAUGCGUAGAGAUCUGGAGGAAUACCGAUGGCGAAGGCAGCUUCCUGGCAUAAUAUUGACACUGAGAUUCGAAAGCGUGGGUAGCAAACAGGAUUAGAUACCCUGGUAGUCCACGCCGUAAACGAUGUCUACUAGCCGUUGGGGUCCUUGAGACUUAGUGGCGCAGUUAACGCGAUAAGUAGACCGCCU